GCGUCUUUUCCGUAGUCUACUGCAGCAUGGAUAUAAAAGUAUAAAACACGUUUUGGUUUGACAACAUCGUUCAUAUGUGAACUAUCACAAUUAAUUCACAAAGACAUAACAUCAUUACACUCCGAGACCUUUCACAAGUGCGACUAAAGAGAAGAAACGCUUUCCGGAAGAGAAGUUCAUCAGGCGAGUUGGAGACUAGUCGACUCAUCCAGUUUAGCGGAGAGCAUCAACCCCUAAUUGACAUGAGGAAUAAAUCAUUGAAAAGUGUUCAGUGUACCUCUCUUUGCAACAGAGGAAGCUUUAGGAAAGAGGAGAAGAGAGAAAGUGAAAAGGCUCUCAACAGAUGUUGAAAUGCAUGUUAUUGUGCAAGGGGUAGUUGCAUGGACUAUCAGUGGAGGAACAGAAAGCUCUGAGAUUUCAUUAUAAAGAUCUUCAUUUGUGUUCUGAAGAUGAACGAAAGACUUGCGGGUUUGGAACGAUAUGAGGGUGAGUAAUUGAUGACAGAAUUUUCAUUUUUGGGUGAACCAACCUUUUAACUUCUGUUACCUGGAGUGUUCAAAGACAUUCUUAAUGCAGACCAAUAUGUCAUAAGAAAUGAACUGGGAGUA